CACUGGGUUAGCCAAAAAGUUCGUCCCGGUGUUUCCAUAAGAUGUAACGGAAAAACCCGAAUGAACUUUUGGCCAACCCAGU
ensembl:miRNA